UCAGACAUUUUCCCCCUUGCGACGCCCGAUACGACAUCACUAAUGGCGUAAAGUACAGUGGCGGCGGCGGCGGCGUUGUCGUUUGCCAAAGAUCGGAUUUUUGGUCACUGCCGCCUUUGCUGGAAUAUGGGGAGGAGCGAGUUUGCGAUGAAGUUGCUUGGAACAAGCUGCCAGAGGAAGGAGUCAGCUUUCCCAUCUCCACCCCAACAGCCACUCCAGCCCACCACCCCAGCAACGGACUGUUCCAGCUGCUACGGUCAGGCAAGUGCCUCCGCUGUCACGCUACGAAAACAGAGAGGGUGAGACGGAGUUUCUUCCCACAGGCCAUCAGGACUAUAAACUCUAAUCUCACCAGAGACACUCCUCCAGCAGCUUCCACUGAUGAUGUCACAAAGCAUCUCACAGUCCACCAAUCACAAUGGGAUCAUUUACAUAAGCUGCAGUCAUUGAUGCCAACGGUAGCAGUGAGUAGCACAAGGAAACAAGAGACACACCAAGAAAUAACUGAACAUGUCAAGGACCAAUGAGAAAGAACACAAAACAGAGGGGAGCAAGAAACGCAACAAGAAAGAACUGAACGUCGACGAUCAACAAAAAGCCAGAACAGAAACUGGCAGAGGAGGGAGCGAAUGAGUUGCAGCAUGGUCAAGGAAAGAUGCAAAGAGACAGAUGGGAACAAGAGACGUAACAAGAAUUUACUAAAUAUUUCAAGGAAUAACGAGAAAGAACACAAAACAGAGGGGAGCAAGAGACACAACAAGAAAGAACUGAACUGAAUAAAUCUAAUUUUUAACAUUUAAAUUGUUGUUAUAUUUUAAGUUAUUUACAUUUUAAUCUUUAAUAAAUCCCUUUUCCACGUUGUGCCAGUCAGCUGGUUUAGGAGAGAGGUUUCAUUUACAAUAAAAAAUUCCAGAACUUCCCUCGUGGGGGUGUGUGAAGGGGGGGUGAUCACCCCCCCUCCCAACAUGGGGUUGAUUGAUUACCUCCAUAAAUUCCAGGAUUUUACUUGCGGGGCCCAACGGGUCCCACUUGGUCUAGUAUACUUAUAAAACUCCCAUCUUCUAUGUAUGUAGGUGUGUGUGUAUGUGUGUGGAUUUUUUUGUAUCUUUGUCAAAACACCAUGUGGUAGGUCUGAAAUUUUUCCACAUUCUUGCAUUUUUCCUGUCCACGCCAUAAUCAGGUUCCCUUUAGAUUUGAUGCUAUAUUUCUCAUGUUAUUGAUGAUUAAAUUAAAAAAAAAACAACUUUGAGAAGAAUAACUGUGACUC